UGAAGCUGGAAUUGCUAGUAAUCGCGGAUCAGCAAGCCGCGGUGAAUACGUUCCCGGGCCUUGUACACACCGCCCGUCACACCAUGAGAGUCGGGAACACCCGAAGUCCGUAGUCUAACCGCAAGGGGGGCGCGGCCGAAGGUGGGUCCGGUAAUUGGGGUGAAGUCGUAACAAGGUACC
rnacentral:rRNA from 1 species